rnacentral:rRNA from 1 species
GGGCUCACACAAGCGGUGGAGCAUGUGGCUUAAUUCGAAGCAACGCGAAGAACCUUAUCCUGGGUUUGACAUGCAUGGAUUAGCUUCCUGAAAGGGAAGUGACGCGGCUUGCCGUGGAACAUGCACAGGUGCUGCAUGGCUGUCGUCAGCUCGUGCUGUGAAGUGUCGGGUUUAAGUCCCUUAACGAGCGCAACCCCUAUCACUAGUUGCUAGCGAGUAAUGUCGAGGACUCUAGUGAGACUGCCGGUGUCAAAACCGGAGGAAGGUGGGGGAUGACGUCAAGUCCGCAUGGCCUUUAUGCCCAGGGCUGCACACGUGCUACAAUGGUUGGUACAGAACGAAGCAAGACCGCAAGGUG